rnacentral:sRNA from 1 species
CUCCUCCCCUGCUUUGCUC